rnacentral:lncRNA from 1 species
GGCAGCCUGCAUAGGCGGUCACACUGUCCUACACUGGAAGUUUGUCUCUCUGAAUUAUCCAGGCCGGCUCUCAGUGCAACAUGAACUCACUGAUUCUUUGCCAACCUUUCAGUUCCCUUGAAGUGGCAGGUGCAUAAAAGCCUACCUCCUAUUGCAAACCUCUGAAUUCCGGCAGCACCCCCUUCUUGGCUGUGCUUCUCAAUCUGGAGGUUUAGCAACCAAAUAUCAGAGGCUGGCAGAUAGUUCAUGGCUGCAUUCACCUGUGCUCACCCAGCCUGAGGGGUGUGUGUCCUUAUGAAGUUGAGCCUCUCAGAGUUAGCAUUUCAGUGGUGAAUACAGAAGACAAAACCAGUGUAGAACAAGUAACAUAGAAAGAGAAGAAGAGACAGUACUAGAUACAGAACAGACAACAGGAGGAGAAAACUCAGACUUUGGCAAAAGCCACAUUACCCAAUGUGUUGGUCUUGGAGAGAGAAGAUGGACUCUGAAGAACAUUCCAGUAAUGCCGUGGCAGCAUGGAGAGCCUCUGAGUGGUUGUGUCUGCAGUACUGUUGUGGAAGAUUGACCUUUGCUGUUGUAUGUAAAGUAUAAAUCGCUUCUGUUGUGACUUUGAGCCAGUGACUUCUUAUUUAUCUGAACUUUUCACGGAAGUGGCAGUGAACAGUGUGAGUCUUCAUUCUGGUGACUGUAACCAAUAUCGUCUUGCUAAAUUAAUGGUUUGUACAAUUACUAGGUUGUAUAAAUUUGUUAUACUUUUUGCUCAGUUCUAGUAAAUUAUGAAAAGGAAGUGUAAUGCUAAAAAACAAACAAACAAACAAACAAACAAAACCCAAAAAACCAUACAGGGAUGAAAUAUACAACACAAGGAAUAUAGUCAAUAAUAUUGUAUUGACACUGUUUGAUGACAGAUGGUGACUAUGCUGGUUGUGAUGAGCACUGAGUAAUGUAUGCAAGUGUUGAAUUAGGUUGUAGACCUGAGACUAAUAAAAUACUGUGUUAAUUAUGCCUCA